GAUGGUGACCUGGGUUGACUUUCGUUUUUUGAAUGUUGAUUUUUACUCCCAUGAAAGCCUCCAAAUAACUUGGAUCCCUUCUCUUGGCAUGAUGUGAGAGUGUAUGAGUUUAUUUCAAUAUUUUAGGGAUUGUUAACAUUAUUUGAAAAUGAAUUAUUCCUCUCUCAGUGCAUUUGUUUUAUUAGAACUUCCUGGAGUUUCCGUAGCACUUACCUUGUUUCCAGUGAAUCUUGAACCGUGGCAUUUCUGAGUAGCACUGUGAUAUUUUGGAUACAGAACUGAAAUGCUAAUCAGUAGAAUUAGGCUGUAGUCCAGAUUUUAUCACUAGUUGAAUUUCCCUUUCCUUAUCUUUUAUAUAAGAUGUUAUGAUGGAAGAUUGCUGAUGUUCCAUCUAGCUUUAGAAUUCAAUAAUUAAGUGAUUUUAUGUUUUAUAAGAUUUCUGCAAGGAAAAAUUGGGGAAGCAGCAUUUUUGAUAAAUGAAAAUUGAAAGUGUGAAUGUGGGCAAGAUCCACAGCCAAUGCAUUGUCUGUGUUUCCAGAAUAGUUCAUAAGAAGAUAAAAUGCGUGAUCCUAACUGCCAUUUCUGCAGAUAUUUGAAGUGACUCCUUAAGGAAAACUUGAGGGAUGAACACUGCAGCACUUGGAAAGAAGCAUUGCUUAAUAAAAGACAGUGGCUUUUUCUGGAACAGGAAAUAAUGUUAGCCCCAAGCUGCCCUCUAUAUGACACAAGUAAAACAAGAGAGAAUAAACUGUCACAUAUCCUAAAGUCUAGAAAAGUAAAAGAUGUUGAGAGUAGGCAAAAAUCUCAGAAUUUUCAGUACAAGUGUGUGUGUGUGUGUAUGCGUGUGUGUGUGCAUGCAUGUAUGUGUGUAGUAUUUACUGCAAUUAUUUAACUCUUCAAAACAGAUGACACCUGUUAUUUCUAAGAUUCAUCUUUAAAAUAACAAGAAAUAGUGAUGAAAAGAGGGGUCUCUAGAUAUAGUUCACAAUGAUUUCUCAUCAUCCUGACCAUUACAAUCAAGGAUCCAGAAGUGUGCAUGCAGAUUUCAUUGGACAUAUUUGUGUAUUUUUGGCUGAAUUCCAGGUUCAUUGAGUCCUCAUCACUCUCCUCUCUCGCGCCCUAGACUCGGCUUCAUUUCCAGCCUCUCUGUGAAGAGCUUGAGGAUGUAAAAGGAAGAGGGCAAAGUGUGGGGUUGGAGUGGACAGAGUGCGGGGUCGGAAGAUAGGUGAGCCCUGGUCCCCUCCCCAAGUGCCUGUGCCCAGCCACCCUCUUCAGCUUUAAUUUCCUCUGAAGGUUCACUUCUAGAGUUGAUGGAAGGUCAGAAGGAAGAGCCAUCAAACUAUACCUCCUGCACUUGACUAACUGUAAGAGUAAGACAGAUGCCAGGAAGAGGAGCCCAGACUGCAGAGUGCAUGUGUGGAGGAGGGGUCCUCUUCUUGUGGAAAGAUGCCGGAGAAAGACAAAUGAAAAUAAAAUAAAUGAUUCUACCCCACAC
ensembl:lncRNA